AGCAACCUAGUUCAAAAAGAACCUCUAACCUGCACUUAGAAAGUAGGGCUCGCCCUGAUUGCUA
rnacentral:tRNA from 1 species